GGCGAAUGAACAAAGAAAUGUUCAUUUUGAAAAUUGUGGUCUGUGAUCAUGAAUGGUAAUUUCAAAAUGCAUUGCUAACAAAACUGCACAUGAUGGUUUUUUGGAAAGAACAUUGCAAAGGGUGAAAAUCCCAUGUGUCAUUUGUAUGUUUUGUAUACAGUGUGCAUUUCAUGAAUCACAUUCAUUGACAAUUGAAUGUAAAUUGAAUGGUAAAUUUCAUUUAAACAUGAAUAUGUUGUUGACAACUUAUAGCAAACAAAUACCAUGAGGGAAAUAUGAAAAGGAUUUUGAAAAGAAAAUUAAAAGAGCUUGCAAUUGCUGAAUUGAUAAGCAAACAAAACACAUGUGUGUGCAAGAUUGUGUAAGUGUUUUGCAUUUUAUGCACUCWCAYUACCACGGGGUUUGUGUGUGUUGUCUUCUCUCAAAUAUGAAAUGAUUGUUUUGAAAUGGGAUUGUAAUUUGUUUUGUUAACAAAGGAAUGCCUUUUCAAAGUCAUUGUUUGAUUUGACAAACAUGUUUGUGUCAUGUGUGUGUGUGUGUGCUUCAUUGUUGAUCAAUAAUGAUGUUUGAUACAUCAAAG
rnacentral:rRNA from 1 species